GGGAACGAGCAUUUUUUGCUGUCUGAGCGGUGCAGAGCUGGGAAAAACACAAAUUAGCUGGGUGACGCAGACUGAUGCAACAAAAACAACCACUUGCUCCCUGCAAUGGUCAGUGGAAUGCCGCUGACCAAAUCACCUCUCCAGUGCCAUGGUGAGGUCAAGAAGCACUUGCAGCGCAUUUCUCUCCAAUACCAGAGCCAGACAUGGCUGGGGGGUAGGAAAUGGAGAAAGAAAGACAGGAAGGAAAGAGAGAAAAAAAACGGAUCUGCUAGAGGGUGUAGGGAGCCAUGGUGCUGUUCCCCAGGGCAUGAAGCAGGCAUGGAGGA